rnacentral:rRNA from 1 species
UACGAAGGGGGCUAGCGUUGCUCGGAAUGACUGGGCGUAAAGGGCGCGUAGGCGGUUUGGUUAGUUAGACGUGAAAUUCCUGGGCUCAACCUGGGGACUGCGUUUAAUACAGCCAGACUUGAGUGUGGAAGAGGGUCGUGGAAUUCCCAGUGUAGAGGUGAAAUUCGUAGAUAUUGGGAAGAACACCGGUGGCGAAGGCGGCGACCUGGUCCAUUACUGACGCUGAGGCGCGAAAGCGUGGGGAGCAAACAGG